GGAUUGUGGCUCAGUGGUAGAGCGCUCGCCUAGCAUGUGCAAGGCUCUGGGUUUGAUUCUCAGCACCA
rnacentral:tRNA from 1 species